GGCAUCUUGGUGCUUAGCACAGGCUGUGUUCUUACAUUGACUGUAUUCAAAGAGAAGGCAAAGUAAACCUACCCCAUAUACACCUCAGCCCAGGCCCUGUGCCGAGUCUGUGUUGUGAAUGGGGAGACAUGG
ensembl:snoRNA